UUUUUUGUUGUUUUGCUUCUUUCCUUUUUUUUUUGCACUUUCCUUUUUUGUUUUGAUUGCUUUCUAUCUUUUUUUUUUGACAGGGGAGGGGUGAUCGGAGUGGUGGGAUGGCGCGGCGCGGUUGUCGCGAGGGGGGGUGCGGUGGGCGCGGCUGGUAGGGUUGGCGAGCAGCGGAACGGCGGCGGCGGCGAAAACUAGGGUUAGAGGAAAAACAAGAAACAAGAGAUUAAACACAAGUAACCAGCAACAAUUGAACGAGUAGGCACACAAAUUCAACAAAGACACUUAUUGAAAGAUUGUGCGAGGCUAAACGGUUGCUGGGACAAAGGAUCUAACCUGAAAAAAAUUUGUUUUGGUUUUUGUGGACUGUAGGAAGGGAAAAACACUCGGUAAAACUCACCGAUCAACCUGGAAAGCUGAUACCACUUGAUAGAGUCGGAGUGCCCGAUCUUUCGGUGAGUGGAGAUAAAUUCGACUUGGUAGAAGUAGACCCUCACGAUCCGACUACGACGAGCGAACCCGAAGCGCCAAUGCAAUCGCUGAACCAACUCCCGAUGGUUACCAACCUCGCCGGUGCGAGAUCAGCCUGAUCACGAAGAUCGAUUCCUAUCCACAAUCGAAGAACGAACAAGAAAAAGAGGCGAGCAAUCUAAAUAUCACUCGAAGGUGGAGUUCUGAAUCACACAAGGACAUCGCGUAUUUGCGCGUGUUCAAGAGUAGCUAAAGCUAGAUGUAAAACAAAACUCAAGUCGUAAACAAAAAGGACUCGGACUAAAUAAAGGGGGCGCAGCCCCUGGAGUCCGAAGGGGUCACGCGCGCCCAACCCUAGGUGCCCCACCUGGGCUGCCUUGUUGGGCCAUCUUCUUAUUCCGAUGGGCCUUCGUUCCUUAACACCAUGAUGAAGUUUAAUUCUCUCGCACGGGCCCGAGUGAUUGGCCCAACUGGAUGAUCAACUAUAGGCGCCUGAGGUGGAGGAGCAACUGGAGGCGCCUGAGGUGCUGCUGGUGUAGAUGUACUUGUGGUGUCCUCAUCACAUAGUUAGUUAGUUGUAUUUAGUAGUUAGUAGUCAAUUGAUACUAUCUGAUUUCAUACUAGACUUAGAAUGUUUAAUUUAUUAUGGACUAAAUGAAUUGUGCGUCGUUAUAUUGAUAUACUAGAUGGAGAACGUAGUGAGCAUAUAUCACGGAGGCACCGUGAAAAGGGAUGAAUAUGGAUGUGUUAAGUUUGUUGGCAUGCAGUGCGAGGUUGUCAUAUUUGAUGAGAAACCCUCGUUUAGUGAGUUGCUUGCAAGGGCCCGGGAGGAGUUACAUUGUCAUGAAGAUGAUGAAAUCACAAUCGAGGGCAUACUUCACCUAGGUUCCCCUCUCAACAUUCAAAGGAAGAUGGUUCCAAUUCGGUGUGCAGGCCAGUGGGAAAAAUAUGUGAGGACGGUUAUGAAUGGUCAUUCCCCAAGUGUUUAAGUGGUUGUUCGUCGGGUAGGAGUUGAUCCAAAUCCUCGUCGGUUUUCCCGACCAAUGGGUUACAUCGCAAAAUGAACAUAUGUCGUCUACAAAUUGCGUGUCCAUACUUAAAGUGCAUUAUUACAUGACAACAUAAUAAAAGUCUCACAGUAGAAAAUAUUGUUCAUAAAUAAAGCAUAGAACUAGAACCUAAAUAUGGCUACUGAGUGCAACGAGGCCACUUUCCCUUCCUUAAGGCAUCGGGAUUCUCUCAACUGCUGCUUUCGCUCGACGUGCCCGCUCAAGCUUCUUCUCUCUCUCCUCCCUGUUCGCAGCAACCCGCCUCCUUUCCUCCUCUUCCAAGUGCUCCUUUUCCGCAGCCUCCUCUAUGAGCCUCUUCUCGUACACCUCCUUCCUCUCUGCAUCCCAGCGCAUCAUAUACUCCAAAAACUCCUUGUCUUCAGGAUUGAUCUCAGUGUCGAUCCACUGCUCAAAAUCACAUAGCGGUGGAGGGGUCUACAACAAAUGCAAUUGUUAUAAAACAAAAAAAUUAUGGACAAUAAUUAUAAGACCACAACAUUUCCUUACCAACAUUUUAAUGCGGCGCUGACGAAGUGUAGGUUCAAACGCAAAGUUGGAACACAUCCAAUACCUCUGCCUAUACGUGGCAUGUUCUUCGGACUUGGCUACCUUUCAAGGAUCGCCGCAAAAGCACAUCGGCACUGGAACACUACUAGGCAGAGGCAAUGGAUCGAACGCAUUUCCGGUCUUCUUUGCACCAUAACUACAAUUUAGUUUAUUUCGUUCUAUGAAUCAAACGCACUUAACAAUAAACCUACAAUUAAGGUUUUUUCAUUUCAUCCACAACAAUGAGUAUAUAACAUAACUACGUGCGUUGAGAUUAUCUUAGUUUCUUAACUUUUCCACGCCUCGGCAUCCUACAUUUGCAUGAAACCCUAAGUUCAAAAAUGCAAGAAAUAUAUAGCGAAUCGAUGUGAAAAAAAGGUACGACGGAGAGAGGAUACCUUGCUCUUCAGGAUCCACGGAUCAAAUGAAAGUUUCCUAAGCUACAAUGUCGAUUCGUAGUCUAGGGUGAAGUAGGGAGAGUAAAAACCCGAGAGAGUGGAGAAUAAUGUGGAGGAACUCUCGGGCAGGAAGAAGGGGGCGGUGUAUAUGGAGGAAGGCUUGGCGCCAAGCCUCGGCGCCAAGAUCUAUGGCGCCAAGGCUUGGCGCCAGCGACGGUGGCGCCGAGCCUUGGCGCCACAGAUCUUGGCGCCGAGGCUUGGCGCCGUAGAUCGUGGCGCCAAGCCUUGGCGCCACGUCAGCGGGCCGGCGCCACGUUGGUGGCGCGGUGGGGGGACCUUGGCGCCAGGAUGACUGGCGCCAAGACGUUAUACCUUGGCGCCAGCCUGGCGCCAAGCUAAGGGUCCAUUUUCGGAAUUGGUUUCGCUAGGGGUCUAUUUGUGAGAUUUUUUCGCGAAAAGGGCCAAAAUACAAAAAAGUCGGUCCUCCCUCCACCCCACCCUUCCUAAUCCACCCCUCGCCACCCCGCCGCUGCUACCGCCCACCGAAUAUCCAACCCCGCCUGGCGAGAGCCGCCUCACCUCCGGCGUUAGCCAAACCGCGGCCACCGCUGGAUAGGGGUGAAAGUGGUGAGGAUAAUAUCCAUUUCCGAUCCGAUUCGAAUCCGAAUUUUGCAGAUAUGGAGAAGAGUUUUCCAUAUCCGCAUCUGAAUCUGACCGUGUGCGCAUGCGGAGCAGGAUAUCGUAUUAGCGAAAUCUGACGGAUAUGAAUUAUCUGAUAAUUAAAUAUGGAUUAUCCGAGGCUUAUGAUAGGAUAUCCGACAACACAGUACAAAUCAAGCCCAUCCUAGACACUGAGACUCAUACGUAAUUCUUAAUUUUUAUGACCCAUAAGAUAUGAGGUAUCAUCUGCUUUAUAUAUUGUGUGCACGAGCAAUAGUAAACUGUAGCCGACAAUCUUGUGCAGAGUUAAAUGUAAGCAUGUGUUAUCCGAUUAUUUUAAUCCGACACCGAUUCGACUCCACACCAUUUUCAACAUUCAAAAAAUUUUGCAUUCGUAACCACUCUACUCCGCAUCCGACAUAAAAAUAUGGAUGAGGAUGUGAAAAAAGUAUUAUCCGCUCCACUCCGAUCCGCUUUCAUCCCUGUAGCCGCCCCCAACCUUCUCCCUUCUCUAGGUCCACCAGACAUUAGAGCCCUCAGAAACCCCGAACCCUAACCUAACUCCACCAACCUCGACCAUCGCCGCCGCCCGAUGGUGACCUUGUCGCCGGUCCGCUCCAGCCCACCCCCUCCCUCCCUCCAGCCAGCUUCCUCCCUUCCCCGACCUCACCCGGCGGUGGCGUGACGAACGACGAGAAGGAGAUGAGGGGAGGCAGAUGGAGGAGGGAGAUCGUGCGGCCCAUAGUGACUGCACGAAUCUCAAAUAUCGGAAAGCUAAGGGCCCUAUUUGAUGGAUAGGAUUCCCGACCGCCUAAGGGGGCCGGUGUGGUUGCCGGAUCGGGCCUGUUAUCGUGGUUGGGCCGAGCAAGUGCCCAUCGUUUUGCUUUUUCGUCGAUUCUGUAAAUGGGAUUUUAUCAGGCAACAUUUUAGGGCUAAAGCCCACUAUUUAUGUGAUACUGAUACAGCUACUAUGAGCAUUUUUGCCUGCUACAGAAUUCAGAGAAGAUGAUACAACAAGCAAGAAUACAAGAUUGUUACAACAAAACGAUGGCUUGACCAAAAUCAUUUCGAUCGGUGAAUUCACAGGUGAAGUCCAAGCCAAAGAAGGUGAACAAAAUCAUGACCUAAUAUAGUACAUAUAGUACUAAAUGUCUGAAUCCGUCUUUGUUUGAAUACAGUCACGGACAGCAGGCGAGCAACCAUCCAAACGUCAGGAGGUAUCGCAUGAUUUACAAAAAGAAGCUUCUUACAGAACAAAAACUUUCUUAUGCACAAACGAAGCACAUAAGCCCAAGCAUGGAACACCUCCUGGCAAAGCAGUAAUAUGGAAUGUACACGCCUGCCGAUCAAAACAAUCUGGGGAAGCCUAAAAAUCAGCUAGAACAAAUCCCAGAGACCGAAGAAUUUUGCACGGUCUGAUUGAAAUGCCCACGCUGGUUCGAAAUGUGCUUCUCUGCAAUCACAACAACCUGAAUUCAGUUAAGAAUUCUAGGGAGUUUCCUUUGCUGUUUACCGCCGCUUCCUCCAGCUGGCCGAUCGCUUAUCGCCUGACAGUUUUCUAGGGAGGUUCAGGAGGGAAUUCACCCGGGUCACACCUUCAAGUGCGGACCAUUCCUCUUCCUCGUUUGUUGAUAUGCAAUCUGCAAGGCUGCGAGCCGACCCACACCUUUCGGGCUCCUUCAGGACGGGAGGUUCGUCAACAGGUACAAUCUCAUCAACCUCCCGUAAUGUGUUGGAGUGUUGCAAUGUGGCUGUGGCGAUGUGCUCUUCACUGGAUAUAUGCGCAUUUACAUCUGCAAUGUCUUCAUCAACCUCAGCACUGGCAUCUGGUGUUGAAACCUCUUCCCCAGUUGUUUCUGGGGUCUCCUCCUUGGAUUCGCUCUCCUGAACAGAGUCAGUUGACUUCUCAUGAUCCAAGAAUAAGCAGACAACAGCACAGUCAUCACUCUUGGAUGUCGGGAACUUCAAUCUCCAAGAUCUGACUGCGCAGUCAACGAGAGCCCUGGCUGCUGUUGCACGAGAUGGUGCUGAUGCUACAAUAUCAACAGCCUCCUUGUUUGAGAGGACGUCCCAAACCUACAAGCAUUGAACUUUCAAAUAUAAGAAAGUUGAUGCAGUUGAAGGUUGUUAAACCUUUCUGUGCAAAGGUGCUAAAAAGAUAACUACUCCAAACAGGGAUUGGAAAAUCAUGAUAUAAUGCAUUGGCAAGCGAAUUUCCAGAUCAACACCAUUUUAAGUAAGAAUGGUAGUUGAUUAAACAUACCCCAUCAGUGGCCAAUAUUAUAAAUUCAUCCUUCUCAGAAAGACGGCGAUAUGAUAUUUCAGGAACAGAUAUUAAGCCAUAAUCUUUAAGGCAGAAGUCUCCAAAAGCUCUUGCCAUUGCCAAUCCAGGAGAGUCAUUAUUUGGCAACCAUACUCUAGCAACAUCUGGCUCAUCCUGAAGAGCAAAAACUCUUCCUUUACAUUGCUGAAUCCUUGCAGCUUCCCCUAAAGAACAUGAAAUGAAGAUUAAAUAUUUACAUCAUAGUUCAAUCGAAGGCACCUUAAGGACAGAAAGAAAGGAAAGAUCCCAUAUGCAUAUUAAGAUGGGCUUAAGUUUGAAAGCCAUGGGCAUUUAUACCCAACGAAAUGAUCAAAGUAAUGAACGAACAUACGAACAUACUGGGAAGGUUAGGCUUCAAAUCAACAGUGAGUUGCACAGAAGUUAGAUUGUUGGAGGCAUCUCUUGUCCCCAUUAUUGCUCUUGAGUCCCCAAGAUUUCCAAUUACAAGGUCCAAUCCCUAACAAAAAAACAUAUCUGAAUUCAGAAAUUUAAGUCUUAUUUUUACAACUUCUCUCAAAAGCUUCAGUAUCUGCAAACACCAGGCAAGUUUAGAAGUAUACGUCACCUGUUUGACCAAUGUUACUGCUGUAGAUCCACUGCAGAAACAAUCAACCGUGGGAUGCAGCUUGAGUUCCUUGUCCAUCAAUUUGAAAGCUUUAAGGUAAGAUUGCUUAAGGGGAAGAAACAUCUCAGGAAGCUUUUCACUCUCAUCACCAUUAAUGGAUUCACCCCAUUCAUCAUCAACAACAGAACCUGUUUCUUCAGAAUUGAUACUUCCAGAUAUGCUUCCAUUUUGAUGAGGACUAGAGGCACCAUUAGCGCCGGUUUGCCAUUGCGUGCGCAGCUUGACAGGAAGUGAAUCUCUAACUUUUUUGGCAACAAAAUGACCGUAAGGUCCAUGGCCAUCAAACACGCCACAGAAGAUGCUAUCACUUGAACUAAAACUCUGCAGUAACAAGAAAAAAAAAUCAUACAUUAGUAUUUAGUGCACCAUAGGCAGAUAUUUUUCUUUGCGUGUUUCCAGAAAUCCCAUCAGGUAGGUAAAGUCUGUAAUUUUCUAAAGAAGCAGUUAUGCAUUCUACUGUUCAGCGAAAAGUCUGAGGAGAUAGGCUGGUUGACCAGGUUUCAAUUCAACAAACUGUGUUGGUUGCAUCUUAUUUGUCCAUUAGUUUCGCGGUAUUACAAAGAAAAUGUUAAUAAAGAAUACUAUGAGGCUAGUUAGUAGCUAGGCAAGGAAAAGAAGAAAAAAACAUCAUCUGGACACACAAUCAUCAAAUGGAAUAGAGCUAGCAAACUUAGAGAAUUAUAACAUGCAAGAAUAUAGACUGAGUAGGCCCAUUUCACAGCAAUUUAGACCCUUAAAAAACAGCAAUUUAGACCACCAUCUUUAUAUUGCUACACUGACAUUAAGAAAAAGUCCUAUCAGAAAUCGUCAAAUAGCUCAUGCAACACUGUGGUGUAUUCACAGUGAAAUAAACAAAGAAGAAUAGAAAAUAUGUGAACUCCGGUAUAUAAUGGUCAUAAAAAAUAAAACAAAAAAUGAGAAAAUAUUAUUGAAGAGUAAAACAAAAACUUCAAGAUGGAACCAAAAGCCCAUAAUUCAAUUCCAAGUUUUUAAAAAAUUAAAAAUGUUUGUAAAGGAAGUACCUCACCCUAAAUAAUUAGGUACUUUUCUAGCCUUGAAUAUUAACAAUCAAUAGCACUGUUCUGAGAAUCUAUAGGCUUGAAGUCUUUUUAUUGUCUCUGAAGAACAUGAUCCUCAAUGCAACUUAGAAAGUGACUGCCUUUACUUCUUUGACUUGCUAAACUAAUGCAUACAGAUAUUCUUAAAUACCUACAAGACAGCAACCUACGUACACUUAGCUAGGUCUAAAAAUAGUGAGAGAUCAUCCAUAAGCACACUUCAUUCUCUCCCUCUGGUAAACUUCAUUUAUGAGAUAAGGAUCACAAACAACCUAUUGUGUAUACCAGUUGCUUGUUCAUGAAACUAAAGAGCAAUUCAUGAAUCGAUUAUGAUGGGUCAUAAAUUGAAUAAGACAGCUAUUACUAGGACCAACCAAUCACCUGACAGCACAUAGCACAACCUGUUCAAGAAAGCAGCAACAUUAUACCAUUCUUUGAAACGAAAAGAGAUCAAAACAAAGAUAGGUAGAAAAGGUUGCCAAAGUAUCACAGGAAAGAAUCUCGCCUGAAGCCCUGAACUACAAACAUAGAUUAUAACCAAAAGCAAGACAAGAAAUGAACAAUUCUUUUAUAAUCUCAACCAACUCAUGCGCCAACUAUCAGAAUCUUUUUGUUUUUUAGAAAUCAUCGGACAAAAUUAUGCUGGCACUUUCCAGUUCCACUCUGAAAACUUCUCACUUUCAGAUUAAUAAAGCUCGAAUAAUCUACAGCACAACACCGCAUUUCGAAUCAAACCAUCCCGUGGAGUAAGAGAGCUGCCAACCAAAUCCAAACCAUAAAAAAAGCACCCAUUCCAACUUCAACUGCAAAUCCGAAUCUAUCUUUGCAAGGAACACCUCAGAGAGCGGUAUUCUCCUUCUUAAAGCUAAACCCCUCUUAACUUCAAAAAUGACAAAUCUUUAAUACACAGACGCUUCCCCCAUCGAAUCAAAACAAAACCCAAAAUCAAAAUAUGCCCCUAACCGAAACCCAACCAAGCCAAGCCAAGCCAUUACCACCAACAGCUAAGGAACACUUCGGAUUUUGGACGAGUAAACGCAAUCAUUUCGACGCUCUAAACCAUGCAAAAAAGGGACAAAAAGGCGGCUGUUUUGGGACCAAGAUCGCACACGGACCGAACACCGCCACUGAUCAGGGCUCAGAACCCACCGGCCACCGGACCGAAUCACCAGGCAAGAAGCGGCGGUUACGAGCUCACCUCCCACACGACCAUGGCGUCCUGGUUCGUGCCCUUCCGCCCCUGCUGCGUGUGGAGGCACGCCACCGCGCUCGCGCCGUUGCCGAACAUCCUCCCGGAGACCCGCGCGAGCUCGUCCUCCGUCAUCUCUCCCCCGCCCCCGGGCACCUUCUUGCCGCCGCUGGAGAAGGCGCCGCCGCAGGCCGCGCCCUCCCGGCUCCCGCGCCGCCUCUUCCGCCACGCCGGCCCGUCGCCGGCGGCGGGGGCCUCGGAGGAGAGGCAGGAGCCCAUGGCGGCCAAUGGGAGCGAGGCAACAGGGUGGAGCACAGGGUGGGAGUGGUAACUGCUGACUGUUGUGUGUUGCUGCAAACUGUGGGGUGGCUGUAGGGUUUUGAUGCUUUGCAGGUCUUGUGGCGUUGAGCCUUUUGUAUCAUCUGGAUUGUAUGGUCUUCUUACUUGGAGGUUUGUGCUAAAAAAUGUUAUUUUAAUUUUUUAAUUAGGGCUUGGUUGGGUGUUGGUUUAAUUGAUUAUCAUGAUGCCCUCCUUAUGGGUGAUGGAAUCCUAUGAUGGGGAAAUGGGGAAAAAUUUACUCCAAGAUAAGGUCACUUUGAAGAUACAAUGCUUUGCCACGUGGGAUAAUGCCUAUCUCAUAAAAGAUAUGUUUUAAAUUACAAUUACUGGUUAAAAUGUAGGGUUUUUUUUUACUUUUUAAGUUAUGUUUACUUUGGAAAAAUUGAGAGAACUUAAUAGUGGGCUUCUAGUUACUUCAAUCCAAUUUUAAUUUUGGGCUGUAUAAUUUGGCUUUACAUGUUUGAAUAGCACCAUGAUUUUUAAAAUGCAAAAAAGAUAUUAACCAGGAAACCAAAUAUUGUCACUAACACAUUAUGGAAAAAGGUAGGGCACAACAAGCAUGUGCCCUCUGUCGUCUUAAAACACAGAGAUGGGUACAGCCGUACAAAAAUGCAUCUUUUCUUUUUUUGUAUUUGCAAGUGUCAAAGAAUCUUAAAACCUGAGAUGGAUACUUGUUUAACAAUCAGAUCCAUUUGAUAACACUACUCCAAACUGCCACAUGAUGAAUACAUUGGAUCUUGGCGGCUGUAUUACUGAUGCAGUUCUAAGUUGUCUUUACAUGAGAAAUUAUAGGAACAAUGCAAUAAAAAUAAUCCAGUUUAAUUUAAAAAUGUAUUAUAAUAUAUUCCAGAAAGUCGGCCAUUUCUUUGAUAAUGUUUCAACAUUUUAUGAACCACCAGAAAUGCAUUAAAAGAUUUUGGUAUUCGGCACCUACCAGAAGUAGUGCCAAUCCAAUCCACUCAUCUUUUCAGACCACUUUUGACAUAAGGGAAACUUUUUGGUGCAUCUCCUCUUUGGAUUCUAGAUUGAGAUUUUUCAACUAUACACACACAGUAUACUCUUUGGCAUAGCCUUUUUGUUUGCAACAGGGACAAGUGAUUACCUUAUGGGUCUCUCUUUGUCCUCAUCAGCACAAGUGCAUGCAAUAGAUUACUCAUAGUGCUCCUCCAAAUAAUUGUUUAUCAUCUCGCUGAGCAUCACAUUACUGUUCACUAAUCUGUAUUACAUGGACAGUGAUGACAGAGAUGACAACACUUAUCUCGAAAGCAACACACUUGUAUAUAUCACCUAAAAAAACACAGUUGUGUAUAUCCAUGAAUGUUAAAAAAAAAAAUCCUUCCUUUUUUUGUACUGAAACUGAAGCCAAGUCAAAGCACCGGUGAGAUGUGUAAUGUAAAAGUCAGAAAAGCGAGGGUGUUGAUUGGAUCUGUGGGCGUGUCCAGAUCAAGUUCAGCUCAGUUUUUCCAGACCUGGACUGUCAAACUUAGGAAUAAGUGGCGGUGGUUGAGUUGACUUGGCCACUCAAACUGCAAAUGGAACAAAAUUGCGUUGACAAUAGCACUCCAUCUUUUAGUUAAACCACACAAACAGAGUAGGUUUCUUGUGGUUGGCCAAGAAGAUCGAUCUCCCGAUUUGCCUAAUAAUAAACACUUGUGAUCCUGGUGAACUUGGUCUCCAAAACGGCAUUUCCCUUCUAGCGAAGUCUAUCAAGAACUCUACAUGUUGCUAACACCACGUUUUGAGAAUUAAGAAUUUAAGAUCCAAAAAUUACUAGCUCAAAGAUCUAAGUAGCAAGUAACAUCACUAUCCCUUGCUACAGUGCUGAGCGAGUGAAAAGGAGCGAACGAGAGGCGGACUUCCUUCCGGCGGCGAUUCCGCCUGGCCCUUUCCUCUCUAGCGGCCGGGUUGGCGCCGGAGAGGGAGGAGGGCUGGGGAAUCGUUGUGCGGAUGUAUAUAGGGUAUGUAGGGUAGUAUCUACGCCUAGGGUUUGCUCGCCGUCGUCGGCGAUGGCGGAGCUAGGGUUGCGGGGAACAGUGGCUGCGGAGGAGCUUUUUCCGUCGCCGAAUAAGUUUCUUCGCCGGCUCUGAAGUCGAUCCUUUCGUCUUCUCCGGCGAAGUUCGUCCUGCCGGAGGUUCGUCGUUCGUCUUUUCUUUCGAUUUUGGUCGCUUGAAGGAGGCAACGGCGAAUCCUUUGCGGCUUGCUUUCCCUCUGCUAGCUGCUGUUUGUGGUGGCAUGGUGGAGUGGAAUUUUUGUGGCAUUCGAGUUGUGCUCGAAUGUGUUCUUUCUUCUUUGGAUUCGGUUCUUGGACUGCUGGAUCCCUUCCUGACGUUGCCGGAGCUGGUUACUGGAGCAUCUGGGCUGUGGUUUGUGGAGGAAGUGCGCGGUGGUGCCAGAUCGUGAGAUCGAGGAGACUGACGGCUGACGUCCUAUUACCGAGAACCUCUUGCAGCUAUCCAAAGCUUGGAAUCCGUUCUUCGAUUUGGCUUGGCGAGUUUGGGGGUUUGAUGCUCGGGUAUCAGCCUUGUCGAAUAGAGAAGCAGAAUCGGAAGUUUGUUCGGAUGAAGAAGAAGAACAGUAGGUGUAGCUAGGAUCUUGUUGUAAUUCUCGUUUACUCAGGGUCCUUUCUGCAAGAAAGGGAUGUAUUGUGCAAUCAGUUAUCUUCUAAUAUAAGCUACAUCCUUUUUCCGAAAAAAAAAAAGUAAGUAACAUCUCCGAACAAGUUUGAGGACCUGGAUGCAUUCUUGCCUAUUUUAAUGGAUUGGAUGCAAAGAUCGUCGUACGAUGUCGAUAAUUUUAUACGCGUAGCGGCGUAGGCCGUGUUCACGGAACGUUCCGUCACAUCCCCCGGAUCAACCUGAGCGAUCUUGCCGUUGCUGCUGCAGGCGCCGCCGCCACCGCACAGCUCGCGUCGCAUGUCAGCAUGUGCCCGGCAACGUGCAGCAGGAGGAGAGAUCGAGAAGGGGGUGGGGGAUCCUCCGAAACCGCGGCUCCACGGUGGCAAUUAAGCGGCGGCACGGCGGGGGUAAUAAUGCCGGCGAGGCCCUGCUGUCCCGGAUUGUCCGUGCCCGCGGCCGCUUCUCACCUCACCGGCCGGUGGAUCGAUCCGCGUUGCCAUCCCCAUCCAUCCCUGAUCUCUCGGCCCCUGCCGCCGCGCUGUGCACAUGAAUGUUCGGCAGCCAACUGUGCAGGGGUCCCCCGGUCCAGGGGAGGGAGGGAGCGCAAUUAGUUGCGGUGGAUGACCGGCCGGCCGGGGACGCUUCACCUCCGGCAGUAAUGCCGGCCGUGUGGUGGCACACUGUUCGUGUGCGUGCAGGGCAGGGCAGUUCAGGCCAUCGCUGCGAUUCCGCCUGAGAUGGAGCUAGCUUGCUUCAAUGUCCUUUUCUUUAUUUUUCUUUUUUUUUUAAAAAAAAGUAGCUGCUUCGAUGUUCAUGCGACUGACGUCAUCAUCCCGAUGGUCACUCGUUCCAAAAAGAAUGUAUUCCUGGCCAUGUAUCUGGACAACUUGUUCCGAUAGAAUGCGCUCUUUUUUGGGACGAAGGGAGCACUCGCGAUUUCUUCUAACCCUGUCCCAUUUAAGUUCCGUUACCUCUCCUAAUCCCAGAGAUUACUGAAUCAAAACACGUGUGUGCUUGAAACCAGGCGCACAGGUCAACAACCCGAUUAACUCCCCGGCACAUCAGACGUGGGCACAUCCGGGGCCAAGAACACAAGCUGCCUGGCCUGGCCUGUCCUGACCAGCAGGGAAUCGCUUGCUGCGUUUCCAAGCCACUCUCACUGCCAAAAGAUUCUUCCGCAGAUCGAUCGGGCCGCUCGUCGUCGUCGUCGUCGUCGUCAUCCGGAAGCGAGGAGCUCCGCUCAUCACAAGCCACCGAACCCACCGAACCCACCGAACCCAUGAGCCCUUGCAGUUAAUGGAGGCGGCGGCUCGCCGCCCGCGGCCCACCCGCACGUCACCGGCGCCGAUCGAGGCGGCCGCUCAGCUCGCGGUGGCCUCACUCCUCACUGAAUUUGGCGGAUGGCGACGCGAGUAAACCACCCCCACACGCCGGGCAUCGGCAAAUCUUCAACUUCAAGCGCGAAUUACUACCGAAUGGCGACGCUGGCUUGGCUCUUGCGUGCGCAGGCUGCAAUUCUGUUCUUGCGUGUGGUUGAUGCUCGCAAGCAUUCAUCUUGAGAUCUGCCUGGCCUUUUCGACGGAUUCGGGACGGCCAUUGGGGUGUCAAUUACUACACCAGAUCGAAAUUCUUUUUUUUCUUGUGCUAUGAUUUCUACUUUAUAGUCCUACAAGACAGUAAGAUGGCAGAGUCAAAUAAACAGAGAGCACUUGCCUGCAGCAGGGAGGGCUUAGCAGUUAGAAGGAUGAUCAGAUCUCCAUCAGGCCCUGGGCCAUCGAUGUGAACCGUAGCAAUCAUGGUAGUUUGCAACAGUUGCAUCAAACACUGAUGAAAUGUCGGGUUUGCAUGAAGGAACAGUGGUAACACUAUGAUUCAGUGCCAAAAGGCGCCCAUUAUUGAGUACCACCUUAUCCGGCUAUAUUCACCCAUGGAGACAAUCAGACGAACAAUAACCAUUAUUGAGGAGACAAAAGUUCAGAUAACAAUGAAGAAAUUCUCUUUGUUAUGCAACGCAUGGUGAUUUUGUUCUUCAGCAUGAGUGGUACUGAAAAGAAGAAACGGUGAGCAAAUCAAGGCGGACAGAUAUGCUGCUUAGGUUAGGUCACACUACUACACACGACAUAGGGCCUGUUUAGUUCUCCCAAAACUCCCAACUUUGACACUAUGCAAAAAGAAAAUUCCCCAUCACAUCAAACUUACGGUACAUGCAUGGAGUACUAAAAUGUAGACGAAAUCAAAAACUAAUUGCACAGUUUUGUUGUACUUUGCGAGACGAAUCUUUUGAGCGUAAUUAGUCAAUAUUUGGACAAUAAUUCACAGAUACAAACGAAACGCUACAGUAUGCUGCAGUGCUACAACAGUAAUUUUGCACCUCCAAACUUUGGGCAACUAAACAAGGUCAUAUAUUCCAUGGCUCCCUUUUCUGCAUUUCUCUUCCCUUCAAACAAUGGCCACAACCUGUCGCCAUGCUUCUGAACGUUUUGUAGCUUUUCAUUGCGUUCCAUUUUUCAGAGAUUUGUUUUUGGAGUCUUGUGGUGUCAUUGUGGUUGAAGAGAAAGUGAGAGCUGCCAAAUCGGGUGAGUUCAUAUUUUGCGCAAAGUGGUGACAAAGUGGUGAGGAGCUUUUCGGAUCUUUUUGUUUGACUUGCCUGUGCACGGACAGUGGGAUAUGUUAUGGCAAGCUAUUGAGGUGUUGUGCGUAUGGUGUCUUUUUGGGUCCUUUUUGCCAAUGCUGAGAUUCAGUGGUAGGCAACACACUCAGUUCAGUACAAACUGUGGUAGGAAAGAUUACGAUUUAUAUUGAGACCUAGCAUGUGACUUAGCUCAACAGAUAACCAAUUUAACAUCCAUGUAUCUUAAUUGAUAUUUGGGAUUUCGUCGUAAUAUUAUUAUGUUUCCUAAAAAUUUUAUAUGCGGUUUCCAUUACAAACAAACAAGAUCCUUUUCAAAACCCUAUAGAUUUUAAUGAAGAAUUCCGAAGAGAAUAACACAGAAUCUCUAUGUCCAUUUGCAUUUGUUAACAGUAACAUACAUGCGGUACUGAUCACUUUGCAGAUAAUUAGUUGGUGUUUUCCCCUACUUGUCAACAAAAUUUUUUUGGAAGAAUACCUAGUGGUUUGGCAUGCAUCAAGGUCAAUUCCUCAUACCUAAAUGUACGGUACACUCCAUUGACAUUUCCAAGUCCAAAAGUUCCUUUCAUUGUCAAAGACUCUGGACUCAAAUGCAUGCUUAACAUCUGCUUACAUUUCAACCACCUGCCAAAGAAGCAAAAGAGAAACUGUAGUCAUAAAUAGAGGAAAGGUAAGACACAGACCAUCGAACAAAGAGGAAAGGGAUAUCAUCCACAGUGUUAAAGAAUGGUGCAGAUGACAAAGCGGGGUAUAGAUUGAGAUGAAGAGUGUGGCUUAGCUCAACAAAUUAACAAUACUUGGAUUCUGUUGUAAUAUUACGUAAAAUGUGCUAUGUUUUCAUAAUCAUUUACAGUUUUUUUCAUGUUAAAAACAAACAUGUCCUUUUCAGUGACCUAUAACUUUUAAUGAAAAUUUCGAAAGAGAAUGGAUUUGUUAUAUUUCACUGAUUAUUGUUAACUGUUCAUUUGCAUUUGCUAACAGUAAUAUACAUGCCGCACUGAUUACUUUGUAGAUAAUUAGUUUAUGUUUCUCCUACUUUUGCAACGAAAGGCUUGAAAGAAUAAAUCUACUGACUUGACUUGCUGACAAUUCCUCCUUACUGGAUGUACGGUGCAAGUCCAUUCACGUUUCCAAGCCCAAAAGCUACUUUCAUUGUCAAAAACUCUAGGACUCAAGUGCAGCCUUUCAUUAACAUCUCUGCAUAUUUCAACAACCAGCCAAAAAGCAAAAGAAAAAACUAAAAGAUUCAAUAUACUUGGCGAACUUUUGAAAAUGUUAUAUCUAUAUUUUGCAUUGAAAAUUAUAUUUAUAACAUUACAAAUUUGUUAUAUUCUUCCUAAUUUUUUUGAAACUGAUUACAUUCUUCAUAUAUUUGAUAUCUUUCAUACACUGAAGAGCGCAUAGUUAACAUGCUCAUAUUUCAAUUGAUUUUUCCAUUCGUUGAACUUUUGAAAAUGGUAUGCUUCGAUCCGCAUGAAAAUAGAUUUAUAAACUUACAACUUUGCUACGUGUUGCAUAUGUUAGUGACACUCUUUGCCACUAAGGGGGAGAAUAGUGCUAGCUUGAUCCUCACAUGCCCACUCAUGUCGGCUCUACUCUGCUUGCAGCAACUUGAAAAGAAAUCCUUGUGGUCAGCAUAGAACCGCAAGGAUUCCCCGCAAAACUAAUGCAAAGAAUCGUGCCCAAGGACCGAAUUGCACGAGAGAGAAAGGCAGCCGAAAAGAGACGAAAAGCGGCCGCUACACUUGCCGGCAACGCAGCCGCUGCGGCCUGCGGCUGCGCUACAGCGGCAGGAGCCAGGAGGGGGAGGCCAGGCGGCCGGCACCACCACUAAAUCCCUGCGCUUUCCGCCGUGCGCCCCGCGUGGUUUUCGCGGCCGCGGAUGGUAAGCCAGCCGGACACCCGCGGGACAAAAUGGGAAGCAAAGCAAAGCAACGCAACGCAAAGCAAAGGCAGCAGCAGCGCAGGCGCAACAGCGCUGCGGCACAGUACCGCGAGGGGACGGGGCGGCAGGGCAUCCCCCCACCCCACCUCCUCACCACUCUCCCACCCCGUUCCAUUCCCCAAACCCUUCCCUUCCCUGGCCUCGACGCCGGCCGGCCGGCGGCUCCGAUCCGAUCCCCGCCGCGUUGCGCACGGUUAGCGUUCCCCCCACUCGUCGAUCGUCCGGGUCUUGGUGGCUGGGGAUGGUGGUGGGCUUGAGUUUUUUUUUUUUUUUUUUUUUUGGGGGGGGGGGGGGGGGGCAGUAGUCUGCGCGCUGGGGGGCUUUGCUCGUCCCGGAAUUGCGCGGUUGCGGCUGGCGAUUCGCGUUGGUUCGUAGGAUUGAUGGCUUCGUCGUGUGAGGGCUCGGUGAUUCCUAGUGUUUUUUUUCCCUCUUUGAGAAACUGGCAUGUCUCCUUGUGAUUUCCGUGGUUUAUGCACGACUGUAGAGAAAAAUCGGCGACUUUUGUUCGACCCUGAGAAUUCGCGUAGAAUCGUUAGAGUUGUGCCGCGUCGUGCAGUUUCAGUUGUUGCUUGUUUGCUUCCUGAAAUGCUAGGAGAUCAUGGAUCAAACUUGAUGCCUUACUCUGUUGCUGCAGUGAUGCUGCUCACUAGAGGAACCAUUUGUGCACAAUUAGUUUAGUGACAUGGGAAAUGUUGCUUACAAACAGAAAGCUUCCGUGCAUCGUGUUCCUAGAAAGAAUCGUAAUGCUGCCAUACUGUCAGUAUCGCUUAUUACUUUCGAUCGUUAUGGUUCUGAAAUGCAUUUUGUGUUGUUAACCACUGCAACAAUACACCAUUCCAUGAAAUGUGUUUCUGGGACAUCGUUGAGUAAAGUGCUAAAAUGCAUCUGUUCAUUUCCCCCUUUCAGGAACCCUCUAUCUGAUGAAGUGGCGUUUUGCUCGAAAUUCAGUUGAAUAUCAUCUACUUUGAUUAUCUCUUAUCCAACUGGAGUAUUGGGCCGCCUUUUUUGGCCAAUGGGGAUUGUCAAGAUAGCUAGUGGUGAGCCUGCAGCAAAGAGUGGUUACAGCUGCGGAGAUGAGGACCUUACACGAGAUGAAAGGAUGCUGCUUCAGAGCUUCCCAGUUCAUGAACCUGAUGACUCUGAACUUGCAGAGGUGGACUGUGAGCUUGCAAUGUCAAGAGGUCAGAUUUGCAAUGUGCCCUAUGGGCUUUAUGAUCUGCCUGACUUGAUGGAGGUUCUUUCUCUGGAAACGUGGAAUUCAUGCCUGACGGAAGAUGAUAGAUUCUGUCUAGCAGCUUCCCUCCCAGACAUGGAACAACAUGACUUCGUUACAACAAUGAAAGAGUUGUUUAAUGGUGAUGCUAUGUUCUUUGGAAGUCCACUUAGAAGCUUUUUCCUUAGAUUGAAGGGUGGGCUUUAUUCACCACAAGUUUCUCAGGCAAGAGAGUUACUGAUGACAUUUCAAAAACGAAGACAUUAUCAUUUCCUGAAGUUGUACCAUGAUGGUAUGGCUGGUAAAUUUGCAUCCGUGGCCAAGGUGUCGAGAAGUUCUGAUACGAGUACUAGUCUUAGAGCGAAGGUUCCCAUCUCGCACAACUGGGCAUAUGAGAAGAGUUUGCCGUGUGUUGGUCUUAGCAUUUCCACUUUACCAACUACUAUCAAAGGUGAAACUGCCACUGUUUUGCCAAUGAAGCGAGCCAAACUUAUGGAUGUGUCAUCAACCACUCAUUGUUCAACCAUACAUAAUGAAACAGAUUAUGCAGCCAAAUCAGCAGAAAUGAACUCAUUGGAAAGUCCAAUCUUCCAUCCUCCCAGUCACCCCAGGCAAAAUUGUAGUAAAGUACCAAAAGGUGUGCUGAAAAUAAGGACUGGUUGUGCUUCUCUUAUUAAUGAAAGUAAAGGGUCACAUCACAGACCUGGACUGAUUCUAGUUGAUCAGUUAGGAAUGCAGAGCUCUAGCUUUUGCGCUCCACCUCAUGCUUUUGCACAUGAUGUACAUGGUUUUUCUGAGAAUUCAUCUUCUCACAUCAACACAGUCAGUGGUACGUCUGCUAGUCAACAACCAAGUCCCUUGCAAUGGAAGGGUACACUGGAAACUUAUGCACUGAUAGGCAAAAGCCCACCUGGAGUCCAAAUGACAGUUCCAGAGGAGCACAAUGCAGUUUACCCUUCCAUGAUGCUGAGAGACUUCUAUCCAGCAGCUAACCUUAGGUUAACAUGUGUCAAUGACGCAUAUGACACCAGAAAAUGUGCCCACAUGAAAGACCUUUUGAAGAACUUUGGUCAUCAGAACAAUAUAGCCCAUCAAAGUUCUCCUGAUCCAUGUGCGAGAGCUAGUGAUGAUCAUCAAAUGAAUGGAUACAAGACAACACACAGUUCAAGAAAUGCUGAAAGUAUUUCAGAGAUGUUGAACCUCGGCACAAGGAUGUACCCACCUCAUAACAGCUUUCCAGAGCAACUGGAAACCAUGAGCAAGUACCAUGAUGGCAUAAAGCUGGAGGCACCUCCUGCCAAGCCUGUUACUGAAGUUGGAGAAGCUCGACAAUUUGCUUACACCUACGCAAGGAGAAAGCCGCACAAGAGGUCAACUAUGGUGGAAGAUGCAGUGUCACCAAGUGUGCUAAACAGCAUGACCAACAUGAAAGCGAAGGCAAUCAAACUCUGAAGCUCGGCAAUUGCAAACAUUCAGAGCUGAACAUAACUGGGGAUAGAAUUUAGCAUCCACCUAACAUCGGAAAGCAUGCAUUUUUUUCCGUUCUCCUAUGACAUCGAUAGGACCAAAGUCUUCUAUAACUGAACUGUUGAAGUAUGCAAAUCAGCCAUAUCUUUCUCCUAAGUUCAGGGGGAUUUUUGCCUGCUAUACCAUACAUAUUCAGGAUUGUUGUUUCUUGAUGAGCUGAAUUAUUUCUUCUGCUAAAGUCAUGUCCUGAAUUUUUUGCCAUUAUAUUCGCAAUGUAGCAUCUCCUAGUAGAGAACUGGGUACUAAAAAUUUAUGGGACAAGAAUAUUGCCUAGGAAAGCAAGUUCGACUUAUUUUGGAUCAUUGGGUCGACUCAAAAUUUGCUAAGAUUAACUACAAUGACAUGCCACGUAAUUAAUCUGGGAGAAAGAAAUGAACUAAAACGUGAUUAGCUGGCCACCAUUAGGUACCCCACUCCCUAAUUCUGGCGUACCUGGCCUGGCUGACACCGACUUCUAUUCUAUUCAUUUCAGAUCACAAUUUCAAACUUAAAUUUGAAUUUGAUUUGUCACUGAUCCUUUAAAUUUGAUAGGUGCUCUCCGAUUCCCAUUCAAAAAAUUCUUUAAAUAUAAUAUCGUAUCAACCAGAGGGUCAACAGGGCUGUCAUCUAGUGGUUCUGUACCGUGAUCUCACCCGUCUGAUGCCGAUCUUACGGCUCAAGCUUGGGAGAGGCUUCAAAAUAUUCGAACGAACUCUCCCCGUCCUCUACCAAAAGGGGAAAUGGCGGCGCCGCCUCGCCACCUCCCGGUCCUCCUCGGCCGCCUCCUCGUCGCCGGCGAGAUCCGCCAGAGCCCGUACCACCUCGGCCGCAUCAUACCCCUCCUUCCUUCGCACCCCCACCUCGCUGCCGCCCUCUCCAGCCUCUACUUCCCGCAUUUCCCCUCCUCCGCCACCUUCCUCCAGAACCUGCUCAUCCGCGCCUCCGCCGCGUCCCCCUCCCCGCGCCUCUCCUUCGCCGCGUUCUCCUCCCUCCUCCGAUCCGGUUGCCUCCCCGACCACUUCACCUUCCCUCCGCUGAUCAAGUCCGCCUCCAGGCUUCCCUCCUUCCCGCGCACGGGUGCGCAGGUCCACGCCCAGUCUGCCCGGCGCGGGUUCUUGGCCGACAUCUACGUUGUUAAUUCGCUCCUCGCGAUGUACGCGGCGUUCCGCGACACGGCGUCGAUGCGGGCCGUGUUCGACUCGUGCGCGGAGGUCGCCGACGUGGUCUCUUGGAACACGGUGAUUGGUGGCUACGUGAAGUGCGGGGAGAUUGGGAAUGCCAGACGGGUGUUCGACGAAAUGCCUCAGAGGAAUGGGGUGUCCUGGAGCGCGAUGGUGGGAGCGUACGCGGGUGCUGGGGAGCUGGAUGUUGCCAGGGAGAUGUUUGAUCGGAUGCCUGCCAUUGGGAGGAACGUCGUCACAUGGAACUCGAUGGUGACAGGGUUUGCGAGACAUGGGCUGCUGCCAUUGGCGAGGAAGAUGUUUGAUGAGAUGCCAGUCAGGAAUUUGGUGUCGUGGAACGCGAUGAUCAGGGGAUACACGAUGAAUGGCGAGAUGGAUGGCGCAAGGGAGCUGUUUGAUGUGAUGCCGGAGAAGGAUGUGAUUUCCUGGACAUGCGUGAUUUCCGGGUACGCACAGGCUGAACGUUAUGCAGAAACCCUUGAGCUAUUCAGGUCAAUGCAGAGCAAGAGCAGUAUCCGGCCUAAUGAGGUGACCAUGGUGAGUGUGCUCUCGGCAUGCGCACAUUUGACAGCUCUAGAGGAAGGGAGGUGGGCUCACACCUUCAUCGGCAAGCACAAAAUGGUUCUGGACAAUGAGUUCAAUCUUGGUGCUGCUCUCAUAGACAUGUAUUCCAAGUGUGGGAGAACAGACAUGGCUGUAAAAAUUUUCUACUCCCUGGAUCAGAAGAAUGUCUCUGCCUGGAAUGCACUCAUUACGGGGCUUGCAGUAAAUGGUGAUGCUUCCCAAUGCAUUGAUGUGUUUGAGCAGAUGAAGAGGUCAGGAGAGAACCCGAACGACAUAACAUUCGUCAGUGUGCUGACAGCUUGCGCCCAUGCUGGGCUGGUCGAUGAGGGUCGGCGGUGCUUUCAGAGCAUGGUAUCUGCUUUUGAGGUGCAGCCCGAGCUCAAACACUAUGGCUGCAUGGUUGACUUGUUGGGCCGUGCAGGGCUUCUGGAUGAGGCAGAGGAGCUGAUUCGGAGCAUGCCAAUGGCCCCGGAUGUCAAGGUUUUGGGUGCGCUACUAGGUGCAAGUCGAAUGCAUAAGAGAUUUGAUGUGGCUGAAAGAGUACAGCGUGGGAUCCUCAAUCUUGAUACAAAGCAGCCUGGCUGCCAUGUUCUGGUGUCUGACAUUUACGCUGCUGCUGGCAAAUGGGCUGAUGCUCUAGAGGCAAGGGGUUUUCUGCAGAAGCAUAAUAUUAGAAAGUUGCCGGCAUCAUCCAGCUCAAUGCAAUAGGUUUGAAGGGGCUUUAGCAUUUUAGGUUAGAUUGCAUUCUUCACCAGCCAAUAUAGAGGUUAUGUAUAUAACCCCAGCAAGCAACCAGUUUUUGCGUGGACAUAAACUUAGCGAAAGGCAGAGAUAGAAUCAUAGAACUAACUUUUUAUUCAUAUGGCUGUAUUGUCCUCGACGAUGUCUGUUUCACUUCAGUCUGACGACACGAUCACUGCUACUCUAUGUGCAUCUUUUUCAUAUCUCAGAUGCUCACCUCACGGUUGUUCUGCUUCACUAUGACUAGCUUUGACCUCCAGCAUCGACUCAGGUGACCUUCUCCAAGUGACCGUCUCUACUCUCUCAAGAUAUGCAUUACAGUUAAAUCAUAUUUAAUGUGUCCAAAUUUCAGCUGAUGGACCACAGGUUAUUAUUUAUUCUUUCUUAUCAGGAGCCUGGUGCAUUUUCAGUGCAAAUACAUAAUUUCCUAAGGGUGCUGCUCUAAAGGAACAAUAGGGUUGUGAAUGUACAUCAUGUGUUUCUUAAGAUGGUGUGUUGAGAAAAUCGGCAAAUACUCAAAAGGUGCUUAGACGUUUUAAGAAAAUGGACUGCACGUGUUUGCAAAUGUAACUUUAUUAUACACUAAACAUACAUAGAAUUUAAAGGGUCAACUUUUCCUUGAUUAAAAUACACUAAACAUACAUAGAAUUUGAAGGGUCGCCUUUUCCUUCAUCCAAACGCUCUUACAUUCAUAGAUAGAGCAUCAUCUUAACCAACUCCUAUUUCCUUCAGUUUGUUAGCCAUCAAGCACAUUUGAGUAAGAAAAUUAGAUAUGCAUUAUUAGAAAAUAGUUGUGUUAACACUGCUGAAAAUUGCUGCAUCCUUCGGAGGAUCUGCGUACGAAAUUCCUUUGCAGAUGUUACUAUUUACAUGGCUAAGUUUGCUUCGUCAAAAUGACCAAUCUAAUUUUCUUUACCAAAUACUACCCAUUUUUAUCAAAAUAUACGAAGUACUCCCAACUAAAAUAGCUAAGUUUGUUGUGUCACUAUGUGCUACCACUCUUAAUUCAAAUCAAAUAAUUAAAAAUAAUGCAGUUUAAGUGAAAGCUAAAACAUAGAAAUUAUGAGCGGAAGAAAAAAAUUGACAUCCAGAAAAAAGAUGGAGAACCGCGAAGAAACAGAAAUUAGAAGACAGCAGGAUAACAACAAUAAUAAUACUACUAUACCACCGACAAGUACGCAGUUCGAUAAUCCACCAUAGCAUCUAGCCCCACGUAUUGCAGGCUAGGAAAAGUAAUGCCACACAAAAUAAACUGACAACGAGGUUCAGAAAUAACACCAAAAGCUAAGCUAACUCAAUUCAAAAGUAAACAACCGCGCCGCUUAGUCGACCUCCUCCAUCUUGCUCUCGCCGGCAUCAUCCUCCAGAGGGGGCAUGUCGGUCUCAGCCUCAGUGGUCUCAUCCUCGUCAAUGCUCAGGCCAAGCUUGAGCAUGCGGUGGAUGCGGCUGCCAAAGGUGUUGGGCUCGUCAAGGCUGAAGCCGGAAGUGAGGAGCGCAGUCUCAAACAGCAGCAUGACAAGGUCCUUAACAGACUUGUCGUUCUUGUCAGCCUCAGCACGCUUGCGGAGCUCCUCCAUGAUGGCGUUCUCAGGGUUGAUCUCCAUGGUCUUCUUGGAGGACAUGUAUCCGGACAUGCUGGAGUCCCUCAGCGCCUGGGCCUUCAUGAUCCUCUCCAUGUUGGCCGUCCAGCCAUACUCGCCAGUGACCAGGCAGCAGGGGGAGUCCACCACACGGUCAGAGACCACCACCUUCUCAACCUUGUCACCCAGCACCUCCUUAAUCACCUUGCAGAGGCCCUCAAACUUCUCCUUGAGCUCCUCCUGCCUCUUCUUCUCGUCCUCAGUCUCAUCAAGCUUCAGGCCCUCCUUAGUGGCAGAGACGAGUUUCUUGCCCUCAAAUUCCUUCAGCUGGCCAAUGGCAUACUCAUCAAUUGCAUCCACCAUGUACAGGACUUCAUAGCCCUUCUUCUUCAGCUUCUCAAGGAAGGGGGAGUUCUCCACAGCCUUCUUGCUCUCACCAGUGAUGUAGUAGAUGUCGCUCUGGCCCUCCUUCAUCCUCGUCACAUAGUCCUUGAGGCUAGUCAGCUCAUCACCGCUCUUGGUGGAGUGGUACCUCAGGAGCUCAGCGAUCUUGGUCCUGUUCUGGGAGUCCUCGUGGAUGCCAAGCUUGAGGUUCUUGCAGAAGGCCUCAUAGAACUUGUUGUAGUCCUCCUUGUUCUCAGCAAUCUCGAAGAAGAGCUCAAUGCACUUCUUCACCAGGUUCUUGCGGAUAACCUUGAGGAUCUUGUUCUGCUGGAGGGUCUCACGGGAGAUGUUGAGGGGAAGGUCCUCAGAGUCAACGAUGCCCUUGACAAAGCUCAGCCACUCUGGGAUCAGCUCCUCACAGUUGUCCAUGAUGAAGACACGGCGCACAUAGAGCUUGAUGUUGUUCUGCUUCUUCCUGGUGUCGAAGAGGUCGAAGGGGGCCCUCUUGGGUACAAAGAGGACAGCCUUGAACUCAAGCUGACCCUCAACAGAGAAGUGCUUCACGGCAAGAUGCUCCUCCCAGUCGUUGGUCAAGCUCUUGUAGAAAGCAGCGUACUCUUCCUUGGUGAUCUCCUCAGGCUUCCUCAUCCAGAUAGGCUUCUGCUUGUUGACCAAUUGCCACUCGUGAGAAACCUCCUUGAUCUUCUUCUUUUUCUUCUCUUUCUCUUCCUUCUCCUCAUCAACAUCCUCAACCUUGCCCUCCUCAUCCUUCUUAUCUUCCUCAUCCUCAUCAUCAGAAAUCUCCUUCUCAGUGGUCUUCUCAGUCCAGAGAGAGAUGGGGUAGCUGAUGAACUCAGAGUGCUUCUUGAUCAGAUCCUUGAGGCGUCGCUCCUCAAGGUACUCCAACUGCAGAAAACAAGAGCAAAUUUUUGAGAAUAAGAAGAGAACUAAAUGAUGGAAUUAUUUACAGAUGUUCUAACAAACUCUAAAAAUCAUCAAUACAACAGCAUAAUUAGUACAGUUAAUGUCGAUGUCAUUAGUUUGCUAACAUAAUCCCAUAAUAUUGCCAGUUUCACUAUAAUGAUCAUACUUUAAGCACUCAUUCCAGAAAAAUAAACAUUACUACGAUUAAAAUAGCAUGAUAUGUUGUUCCUACUAAUCUGGGAAAUGCACAAACUAACAGCAAUAUCUCAAAUGUUCCUACUAAUCCUAGAGUGAAUCAAGCCCAGCCUCAAUAAUAAUCAAGUUCCUAUUAUCAACAUUUAUAAUCAGUUAUAACAAACAAAAGAUGUUGGAGGAAUAACAUGCUUACAAUUUAGCAAUAAGCCAACAAAAAAUCAGCACAAACUACAGCAUAAUAGAACAAUGUGAUUUCAACGAAGCAAUAGCAAAAACAGCAUCAGCACUAUCUAAAUAAUAACAAUAAUAAUCCUAUAAGUUAAAACAUGGCAGCAUCACCAUUAGUGAUUAACAUACAGCAACCUUCCAGGGAAUUUCUGCUAUACCUGAUCAUCCUUGAGGUAGAGGGUCAUCUUGGUACCCCUGCCAAGGGUCUCCCCAGAGGUAUCACGUGUGACGGUGAAGGAGCCACCAGCCUGAGACUCCCACACGUACUGCUCAUCAUCGUUGUGCUUGGUGGUCACAACAACUCUCUCAGCAACAAGGUAGGCAGAGUAGAAACCAACUCCAAACUGCCCAAUCAUAGACACAUCAGCACCAGCAGCCAGAGCCUCCAUGAACUCCUUUGUGCCUGACCGUGCAAUGGUACCAAGGUUGUUCACGAGGUCUGACUUGGUCAUACCAAUACCACUGUCAAUGAUUGUCAGAGUGUUGGAGGCCUUGUCAGGAACAAUGUGGAUGAACAGCUCUGGCUGGGCAUCGAGCUUGCUCUUGUCCGUCAAGCUCUCAAACCUGAUCUUGUCCAAGGCCUGUCAAAACGCACAAAAAUAAUAGUUCAGGAUUAUUAGGUCAGAAUAGGGUAAUCAGCUAUUUAGAUUAGCACCACUAAAUACAAUUAACCGCUACACGAUCAAUUUAAUCAAGUAGCUGUGAACCACCUACUACAAAGCCUUCUACCUUCCCAACAUAAACCGACCCUUCUAUCUAGCAAGACUAGAUAAAUUUUAUCAAUACCAAUCAUGCUUUCAUUUGUACAUUCUAGAUGAGCACUGAAAUAAACACAAUUAACUGCAUAACACACAAUCAACUUAACCUAGCAAAGACUAUAUUUAUCAAGACCAGUCGCGCUUUCACAGUUCUCACUGGCGCAUCAGAUCGUUCAGAUUAGUUAUCAACCUUGCAAGUACAUAUGCCACAGACACAACCGAGAUCUAACAAAAUUAUGAGCUAAUUUACGACUUCAAAAGUACAGGUUCACAUGCCGCGAAUUUAAGCUGAACAGUCAACGACGAACUAGGACAGAACCCUACAUAACCCCCCAUCACCAGAUCCGAAGUACGAUGCGAAAACAACGAUCUAUAGAACGACGCUAGGGUUUAGCGUACAGAUCUAGAACCGCAAACAGAAGAGCACGAGCGGGACCAGGUGGGGAACUUACAUCGGAGGAGUUGGAGAUGAGCUCCCGGAGGAAGAUCUCCUUGUUGGAGUAGAAGGUGUUGAUGAUGAGGGAUAGGAGCUGGUUGAUCUCCGCCUGGAAGGCGAACGUCUCCGUCUCGGAGGCCAUGGCGAAGCUUUCACGAACGCGAGGGGAGAGAGAGGCGGCGGCGGCGGCGCUUUGGGGGGAGGCAACGAGGGUUUGAGGCGAACCGAGGGAGCGUUGGGUUGGUCCUGGGGGUGGGGGGACUUAUAUGGAGGGGAGACAAGGGGUUCUGGAAUGUUCUACGAGAGACGGGAAGGGGUGGAGGGCGCGGGGAGCGGGUUGACACUGACUUGCCGAUGGGCCCGAAGUCUUCCGGGCCCGGCAGUGCCGGGGCUGAGUUCCUUCUUUUGGCCCGACGAGCCAGUGGCGUUGUGUCUUUGACUCUGUUUUUUUCAGACUGGUUCUAGAUCGAGCUGGGUUUGGAGCAUGAUUGCCUUACGAUUAACGGGCAGUUGGCAGGUCCAUCUACGAGCUCGUGUAUUGCUCACUAACUAUCGUAGUACGCACGAAAGGUUUUUUUUUGAAGGUCAACGGGGGAGUGCCCCACCUGAUUUCAUUAUAGGGCCUGAAGGUCGGCCAAAUGCAAGUACAUUAGAUCUUAAGCAAAAAAUAGGGCGGGGGAUGGAGAUUACAUUAGUUUACAUUGAACAAAAAAGUAAACACCAGGCAUCCGCUAUCUGACGAUCCUCGACCUUUAGUCGGUGGCUCCAUAGCCGGGCUUCAUCGCGGCAUGCGAGCCAGAAGCGCCCAAACGACGGGGUAAUGUUCUGGAAAACAAGCUCAUUGCGGGAUUUCCAUAGCAACCAACAGAUGAGAAGAAUGAAACUGGAGUAGUGGCGCCGCGGCACCGUCGUGGGGCGGGGAAUGUUCCACAGACAUCGAACCGAGACCUCAGUUGUAUCCGCGGACAGCGCCGACCAGACUUGAGCAGCAAAGCGGCAGUGAAGGAUCAGGUGAUCGCAAUCUUCUGGCUGGCCACAUAGCGCACACGCCGGGUCAGAGAGGAUGUGCUUCUUGACAAGAUUUGCACGGCAAUCCAUUCCUGAACCAUCAGCCAGGCGAAGAAAUACACUCGAGGGGGUGCUCGGUUGGACCAAACGAAUUUGGCAAAGUUGCAGGUAGGGGACCCGGUUGCUUCCAUGAUCUUAUUGUAGGCAGCACCAGAUUGGAAGGGCGCGUUUGGCGGGGCCAAAGUGCUGUGCCGUUGGUCUUCAGCACUGCUCAGGGCAAUAUGGCCAAUCCUGAGGUUCAGGUCGGCCAAUUCAGCAGCAGCCGCAUGGGUCCGCCUGGGCAUUAGGUGCCUGGGGAUCCCGUCGGCAAUGACCUGCGACACCGAGGCUUCCGGUUGUGUAGCAUGGGAGUACAGAGCGGGAUACAGUGCAGCCAGACGGCCAGCAGAUAGCCAUCUGUCAUGCCAGAAGCUCGUGCUCUCGCCAUUGCCAACUUCAGAGCUCGUGACAACACGGUAUAGCGGUAGCAUGCUGCCCAGUGCUGUCCAAUGGACACCUUCCAGGGUUCCUUGUAGCGAGGCUAGAUCAAUUCUUUCACGUACCCACCGCGCCUAGGAGGACUCCCCGGGCCGGAAGAUGCGGUGUAGAAGCUUCAGCAGCAAACUUUGGUUCUUCGCGCCAAGCUCCGUGAUGCCUAGCCCCCCUUGCUCUUUCGGCUGGCAGGCAUGUUCCCAGGCGACAAGACACUGAGCACCACUGACCGUAUCCUCUCCAUCCCAAAGAAAACUUUGUCGUCGAUGGUUUAAAGCAUCCACCACGCUAGGGGGAGGAGGAGGAGAAUGGACAUUGCAUACGUCAACUGGCUAUCCAUGACACUGUUUAUCAGCACAGCUCGCCCCGUGGAGUUGAGAAGGCAGGCGCGCCAUCCAUUGAGCCGUCGAUCUGCCCGGGCAAUCAGAGGGGUGAAGGCCGAGAGUUUGAGCUUCUCAUUUGAUAAGGGGAGACCCAAGUAAGUUUGAGGAAACGAGCCAAGUUGGCAACCAAGGACCUGCUGCAAGGCAGUUACCAGAUGUGUGUCAACAUUCAUAGGAACCAUUGUGCUUUUGCCAAAGUUUAUGUGCAACCCAGUGAGAUCAGAGAAAUGUUCCAGCACUCGCUUCAGGGCCACCACACUAUCACGGCCGGCCUGCAAGAGGAUCAAUGUAUCAUCCGCAUACUGUAACACCGGGCACAGUUGGUCAGAGCUGGCCGGGUGGAGUAUCAUGCGGUCUUGCUUGAUCAUUUGCUGGAGCACAUCUGAAACGAGCAGGAACAGGUAAGGAGACAGUGGAUCACCCUGUCGAAGACCGCGUUUGCAGGGAAACCAUGGCCCAGGCACUCCAUUCAUCAGCACCGCUAGCUUGGAGCUGUGCAGCAGCGAGAGGGUCCACGCAGUCCAUUGCGCAGGGAACCCCCGAGUGGCGAGAACGGCAGCCAGGCAGCGCCAAUCGACUGAAUCAAAUGCUUUUGCAAAGUCCAGCUUCAGGACCACAGUACGCAGUUUUCGUUUGUGGCAGCAUUGGAUCAACUCAGUUGCAUAGAUGAAAUUUUCAGAGAUUGAACGCCCCUUGAUGAAGCCUGUUUGGUCUGGGUCAACCAGCUUGGAGAUCUGACACUAGAGCCGUGAAGUCAUCAUUUUGGAGACUAUCUUGAGGGAGCAAUUUUGCAGGCAGAUCGGCCUGUAGUCGCCCGGCGACAUCGCUGCCUCAUUCUUCGGUAUCAUGACAAUAUAGGCACGGUUGAUACACUCGAGCUCGGCAGUCCCUUCCUAGAACGCCUGCGUGAGCGCCAUCACCGUGUGCCGUACUGUGUCCCAAGCAGCGGCAUAGAAGGAGGGGCCGAACCCGUCGGGGCCCGGUGAGCUUGUCCUGUUCAUCGCGCGGACAGUAGCUCGCGCUUCACUUUCGGUGAAGGGAGCAAGGAGCGGCGCGCUCGCCGCGCGCGGCAAGCCUGAGUACAAGGAUGCGAUGUCGACCCCGCUCAGGUUCACCGCGCGCUCGUCAAGCAAGCUCCGGAGGUGUACCGUGAGAGCUGUCAUCUUCUCCUGGUGUGAGCUCAGCACCACCCUGUUGAUGUUUAGGGCACGGAUGUUAUUCCGGCGCAGCCGGAGGGUGGCCUGCGCGUGGAAAAACUGCGUGUUCGCAUCGCCUUCCCGCAUAGCGCGGAACUUGCCACGUUGUUUCCAGAACGCGGCCCGUUCGCGCAGCACCAGUGCAAGCCUGCCUUGACACGCCUGACGCAGCAGCGCUUCGCCUGGAGAAAGACAGCGGAAGUCUUCGAACACAUCAAGCAAAUAUAUGACAAAUUUACAGUUGGAGGGGAGAGCGGGAGGAGCGCGCUUACAUCGCGCCCAGGCCUUAGACGCACAGCGGACUGUCUUGAGCGCAUGAGCAAUCGCGCUAGCCGCAUCAGAGUCACCGUUCUGAGCCCAAGCUAGCAGGAUGGUAGGGAGGUAGUUUAUAUCCUUAAGCUAGGAGUUUUCAAAACGGAAGACGUUGGCUUUCGGGAUAGAGGUGGACAUUUGAAGGAGGAGAGGGGUGUGAUCAGAGGUGGGUUUUGGUAAGGAACACAGGGAGGAGUUCGGGAAGGUUGUGCUCAUCGCUAGGUUGAAGAGAGCGCGGUCGAGGCGGGUGAGAGUAGGGGAAUCGCGGUGGUUGGACCAGGUGAAAAGGCGGUCUAGGAGAGGCAGGUCAAGGAGGGAGAGCCCGUCGAUAGUAGCAUUGAAGGCAUCGCAGAGGGCGUGAUGGGAGGAGCCGUUGCUGUUUUCUUGGCCACUCCUAGUUAGGUUGAAGUCUCCCACCAACGCCCAGCUCCCAGUAACGUGCUGGGCGAGUUCAUGCAGGUCUUCAAGGAAGGACAGAGAGUCGCGAUGGUCCGCGGGAGCAUAGACGUUAGUAACAGCGAAGGAGUAGUUUGAGGCCGUGGAGGAAAGGAAAGUAGUAAGAGUAUGGCGUCGAGUGAUGAAAGAAUCUAAGGUGAACAUCGACGGAUCCCACGCAGUGAUUAUUCCACCACGCGUGUCUGAAGCAUCAACACAGCGGAAGGCGGUGAUGGUUGGAGGCAGGAAGGAACGAGCUUUGAGGCCAUCCAGGCCACGCAGCUUGGAUUCCUGUAACAUACAAUGCUAGAAUGCGAGGAGGAAAUAGAGUCCUUAGCAACAGUGCACUUGUGCGGAUCUCCGAGGCCAUGAACAUUCCAGGAUAGAAGGGAAAAGGAACUCAAACUAAGAUUCAUAGGUACGAUUACAACACCAGAACAGGAGCAGAAGAACAUCAACUAAAGGCACAAGACAAAGAGCUAAGACACUGGAAGACCAAACACUAGAGCCAUGGCGAAGUAACAUCAGAAUCACACAGGCGGCAGAUAACUGGUGUUUCUGCAAAGAGCGGGCAAGCAGCAGAAACAAGCACAAGCCUUCUUGAGUUCAGGCAUCAAGAGCAUCAAGCACCUUGUUCAGCUGAGCGGUAGUGGCCUUCCCGAUAGCAAGGACCCAGUACAGAGCCUUGGCCGUCUCCUGACCGAGCCCAAUAGCAUCGGCAAGCUUCACUAAGUCCGCUCCAGAGAUUGGCUUCUUCUUCCUCGUCAACAGCUUCUUCUUGGCAACAUGGGCUUGAACUGCAGACGAACAGAGCGCGAGGCUAUCACGGAGAGCUUUGAGCUGGGCUGCUUUGGAAGUGGCAUCCACGAAUUUUCCAUCUUCUUUUGCUGCCAGGCGGGCGCUGUGGCGUUUGCGGAGGGGUGGGCGAGAUGGGCAGCGGGGGGGCGCAUCUGAUGUUGCAGGUGGCGGGGUUGGAGGGGAGGGCGCAGCAGUGCCGAGAGGUGGCAUGGGAGAGUGUGCUGGCAACGGCGUGUUGGGAGGCGUGGGUGGCAGGCAUGGCUCAGGCGCAGCGGGGCGCCAGGUAAGGAGCGGGACCGGUCUGGCGCCAUAGCUCCCCAGGUCUCCGCUGGUGUCUGUGGGGGGUAACUGGAUCAGGAUGGGGAAAGCGGGCAGGGGCGGUAGGGGUAAAGGAUUUAUGAAGCCGUGGCAGAGGAUGGAGGCGCCAGUGAACGAAGCUGGGUGUAGCGGCGUGGGAUGCCGCUGCUCGGGCGGGUAUGCGGCUGGUGGGGGCGGAGGCGCUGGGUUGUUAGGCGGCAGAGGGGGGUGCAGGUCGUUGUUUUGAGGAGGUGGCAGUGGUGGCGGAGUUGGGCCAAAGAACGGGAUCUAGUCCCCCGCCUCGUCGAACUGCUGCUCGCGCGGCCAGAAGGUCAGACCGCCCAGGCGCAGAACGACACCGCGGCCGCUCGGGGUGUGGACUCCGAGGCGGCUGGGGAGAUGAGGGUGCUGCAGCUCAAUCACCACACGCAUGCAGGAACGGUCGAAGCCAGGGCUGCAAAAGGGAUCCACUUCCACAAGGGUACCGACGCAGCGUAGGAUGUCACGCACCUGCUCGACCGACCAGUGCUCAGGAGGCAGAUUCCAGAUGGCAACGUGCGCAAGCCACUCUGGCUCACGAACGAAGCGAUCAUCAGUUUCCUCCGCGCGCUCAAGCGUGACAGUGGCGUCGUUAAUAUGCACCGGCUGCACGUCCAUUGCCAUCUCCCGCGCCGCGGGAGAGCCAAAGUGCAGCAGCGCCACGCCACGCGGCGACGGGAGCAGCUGGAAGCGCAUGUGCGGCGCCGCGACAUGGAGCGCGGCGUGGAUCAGAGGGGAGGGGGCCGCUGCAGCAGCCAGGGGGUCCACGUAAACAAAGGCAAAGCGGGAGGCGUGGUCCCAGUCACCUUCGUUGACCCAGACCUCCAGGUAGUCGGGGCCGUCGUCGAAGGCGUCGUUGUCUACCGACUCCUCCUCCAGGGCGCUGUUGGCCUCGCCGUUGGACAUGCUCGCCGAAGCGUUGGACGCGCCCCUCCGCGGAUACACUGGGUCCACAGGCGCAGCGAGUCCCGGCGGCGGCGUCAGGGGAGGCGAGCACCCGGGGACGGGCGUGUUGGCACCAGACGCGCGACGCGGAGAGGCGACGCCAACGACACGGAUGUCGCGUGCUUUAGGAAUGGCACGCGACGCGCGGAGCUGGGGGGAGGAGGGUUCACCAAGCGCCACGCGCUUGCCCUUGUCCAGGGGCUCGCGGAAGAGGUCACCGAGGUAGAACGGCCCCUCCUCCGUGGCAAGGUGGCGCGGUUCAGCCACACGCUCCGCGACCGCGGGGGCAUGGCUUGUGGAGGCAAGCAUACGCAGCAGGUCGAAGGCCGUGGUGAAAGGAGGGAGGUUGAGCGGGGUGGGCGGAGGCGUUGGCGUGGCGGAAGGCGGAGGCGAACUGCGGGGGAGGAAGGGGACCGCGUUGAUUGGCACACGUGACGCGGGGAGUGGGAUUGUGGGACGGCGGCGCGGGUGGGGAGUCUGCUCACGUGGGAACGCCAUGGGGCAAGCGUAGCCGCGGUGCCCAGACCCACGACAAAAGCGGCAGCGUAUAGGAUCUCUACAGUCCCGAACGCGGUGGUCGCGAGAAAGACAGCGAUGGCAGCCGCCGUGGUGGAGGGGGAUGGGUUUUUGUUUGGAAAAAAAAAAGAGAGUCCAGUAUAAGGUGUUUUCAGCUAGAGAAAACUUUGCGUUUGGAAGCACUAAUAGUAAGACUAUCGUGAUCACAAUAAUUUUCAAAUUUCGUGGAAUUUAUCCUCCCUUUUAGCAUCGGGAGAGAGUAGACCUUGUCUCCUUUUUUUAUGCAACUUGCAGGGGAGUUUAUGAAGGGAAUAUAGGUGUAGUUAACUACUAACUUACUAGGUUCGCAAAACAAACUACUAACUUACUAAGUGACUACUGUCCAAUUGUCAUAUGCUUGCUUUCAAAAGUCCAAAAAAACUGCACCGAUAAUGAAGAUACAGAAUGGCGAGUGAUGCGUUCAGUCAAACACAUUCAGAUCGCGGCAGAACUCUUGUUACCACAUGCAGCUAUAAACCAAUUUUAAUGUGCGUCCUUUUUAGCCCCUGCAGUUUUUAUGGGUAUCCUCGAAAAAAAGCAAAAGAAAAAAUUAAGGCAAUGAUAGGGUAAACUUAUUUUGCAACAGAUUGUAAUUCAGCAUAUUUAUUGCUGGAUGCUAAGUUGCUGACAAAAAAAGAGGAAAAGCGAAAAAUUAUCCUUUUCUUUGCAGAGCGAACGGAAUCAAUACCCUGAUCCUGAAACCGGGGGACCAGAUGGAACAGCCAACGCCCAACAGGAGAUAGUUAAUUCUAUUUUCCAAUUCUGUAACUUCAAGUAAUAUGUGCCUUAGUAGAUCUGCUAUAACACGUUUCCUUCUUUACCAACUAUAUUGAUCCAUUCAGCAGAAAAUUUUAGCUACUUUUAAGUUGUUCUAUAUCUGUGCGAAAUUGUGUGCUAUUCUAGGGCUCUAUUAAAUAUGAGCCCGUUCGGUAGAGAUUGCUGCUGCAACGCCGCGACUGCAGCUGCAAUAGCCAAGCAAGCAUUCUGAGUCUGAAUUGUGGACCUGCUGUCCCGUGCAGGCGUGCAGCUGCAGCUGCUUAUGCAGCCAGCACAAACGAACAGCAGCUAUAAAGCUAUGUUAACCCAUUUACCCCACAACUACUCCACACAUCUGGGUAAUGAUUAUGUCAGCUAUUGGAAUGAAAAUGGAGCUUAUCAUAUACACAUAAAAGCAAUCACCUACCUAUCAUUUCAAUUUUUACACCUUUUUGGUUUUAAGCAAUGAUAGUUGUUUACUAAGUUUGAUCAAGCUUAUUGGCACUUUUCAGCUGAGUGUUUAAAAGUCAGACACCAUACUGAGAUUGAAUAAUACAUAAAUGCAUGGAGGAUUGCUCUUUAACAAAAUGUAAGUUUGUUCUCUGCUGCGAAAUGGUCUCUAGCUUAGUGGUUAGAAUGCCUAAGUAGUACUAGUAAGCCUGGAUUCAACUUCCCGUGGAAGCUAAUUAAAUGGAUCUAGAAUAAAAAAAAUAGGAAGGAGUUUCCCCUUCUGACUACGAGGACAUAUGCGUUUUCCUUGAAAGACUCUUUAUAUGGUGUAUUCCUAAUCUUUAGAUUGUGACUGUUUAAUGGAUGAGACCGACGCGUCUCUAUGACAUGAUUGUUGUAACUAUUGUAACAUUUUAAGUUCUUUCAUCUCAUUUGUUGGGUACAUACAUGAAUGAUGAGUUUGUUUUUGGAUGACGACUGUUGUGCUAAUUAGAUAAGCUAAUUAUACUUUUUUACAUAAAAAAGCUACUGAUUCUUGGCAUCACAAGUUUGAAGUACCGUUUUCCUGCAUCAUCCGCUGCAUUUAGAAAACCCCUUUUUUUAGAGGAUCCCCUCAAUAUCUCCAGCGCACUGGAUACAGGCGCGGCGAAGCGCGCUGAUCAUCCUAGUUAUUAAUAGUCCCCGUAACAUUGCCCCCCGAGUUUGCGUGUCAGCAUGUCACAAUGUGCUACACUGCUAGCACUCUUGAUUCUAUCUUGUGCAUAUUCUUGUUGGAUUCACAAGAUCAGAUGCACACAGAUUAACCAACAAAUCUUUUUUCUGUAAGAUAUCGAGACCACUGCCUGGUAAUCACUGCAGAGGCCGGGGCAAAUUUUAUUAACCUGCCGGAUUGCAAAACCACAAAACACGCAAAUGCCCUAAUUAAUUCAAAUCAACUAUUAAAAUAAUGCGGUGCAAGUGAAAGUAAAACGGAUAGAAGCUUAAGAAAAAAGUGACACGAAAAACAGAAUGCAAACGAGAAGAAACAGAAGUUAGAAGAUAACAGGAUAAUAAUAAUGCUACUAUACCACCGACAACUAACGUACGCAGUUCGAUAACCCUAGCACCACGCAUGCAGAUGCAGGCUAGGAAAAGUAGCACCCCACAAAAUAAACAAAAAACUCAAGGUUCAGGAAUAACCAGAAUAACUAAGCUCUCGACUCGAGAAAACCACCAAGCAGCGCUUAGUCGACCUCCUCCAUCUUGCUCUCACCGGCAUCGUCCUCAAGAGGGGGCAUGUCACUGUCAGCCUCCGGGGUUUCGUCCUCGUCGAUGCUCAGGCCUAGCUUUAGCAUUCGGUGGAUGCGGCUGCCAAAGGUGUUGGGGUCAUCGAGGCUGAAGCCAGAGGUGAGGAGCGCAGUAUCAAACAGCAGCAUGACAAGGUCCUUAACAGACUUGUCGUUCUUGUCAGCCUCAGCACGCUUGCGGAGCUCAUCCAUGAUGGCGUUCUCAGGGUUGAUCUCCAUGGUCUUCUUGGAGGACAUGUAUCCGGACAUGCUGGAGUCCUUCAGCGCCUGGGCCUUCAUGAUCCUCUCCAUGUUGGCGGUCCAGCCAUACUCACCAGUGACCAGGCAGCACGGGGAGUCCACCACACGGUCAGAGACCACCACCUUCUCAACCUUGUCACCCAGAACCUCCUUAAUCACCUUGCAGAGGCCCUCAAACUUCUCCUUGAGCUCCUCCUGUCUCUUCUUCUCGUCCUCAGUCUCAUCCAGCUUCAGGCCCUCCUUAGUGGCAGAGACGAGUUUCUUGCCCUCAAAUUCCUUCAGCUGGCCAAUGGCAUACUCAUCAAUUGCAUCAACCAUGUACAGGACUUCAUAGCCCUUCUUCUUCAGCUUCUCAAGGAAGGGGGAGUUCUCCACAGCCUUCUUGCUCUCACCAGUGAUGUAGUAGAUGUCGCUCUGGCCCUCCUUCAUCCUUGUCACAUAGUCCUUGAGGCUAGUCAGCUCAUCACCGCUCUUGGUGGAGUGGUACCUCAGGAGCUCAGCGAUCUUGGUCCUGUUCUGGGAGUCCUCGUGGAUGCCAAGCUUGAGGUUCUUGCAGAAGGCCUCGUAGAACUUGUUGUAGUCCUCCUUGUUCUCGGCAAUCUCGAAGAAGAGCUCAAUGCACUUCUUCACCAGGUUCUUGCGGAUGACCUUGAGGAUCUUGUUCUGCUGGAGGGUCUCACGGGAGAUGUUGAGGGGAAGGUCCUCAGAGUCAACGAUGCCCUUGACAAAGCUCAGCCACUCUGGGAUCAGCUCCUCACAGUUGUCCAUGAUGAAGACACGGCGCACAUAGAGCUUGAUGUUGUUCUGCUUCUUCCUGGUGUCGAAGAGGUCGAAGGGGGCCCUCUUGGGUACAAAGAGGACAGCCUUGAACUCAAGCUGACCCUCAACAGAGAAGUGCUUCACGGCAAGAUGCUCCUCCCAGUCGUUGGUCAAGCUCUUGUAGAAAGCAGCGUACUCUUCCUUGGUGAUCUCCUCAGGCUUCCUCAUCCAGAUAGGUUUCUGCUUGUUGACCAAUUGCCACUCGUGAGAAACCUCCUUGAUCUUCUUCUUUUUCUUCUCUUUCUCUUCCUUCUCCUCAUCAACAUCCUCAACCUUGCCCUCCUCAUCCUUCUUAUCUUCCUCAUCCUCAUCAUCAGAAAUCUCCUUCUCAGUGGUCUUCUCAGUCCAGAGAGAGAUGGGGUAGCUGAUGAACUCAGAGUGCUUCUUGAUCAGAUCCUUGAGGCGUCGCUCCUCAAGGUACUCCAACUGCAGAAAAUAGAAGAAAAUUAUAAGAGAGUGUUCAAACUGAUGGAAUUACUCUCAGAUAUUCAAACGUCAAAAACUCAAAUAUUCAGUAGAACAGUAAAUUUAAGACAGUUAAUGAUUAUCACUGUACAUCAACUUGUUGAUAUAAUCCCAAAAUAAUGUCAUAACUAGACACACAUGCAAAACAAAAUUUCAGUUUCUCUAUAAUUAUAGUAUCUGAAGAGCAAAGUUAUUCCAAAAAAAGACUACGAUUAGAUAAAUAGCAUGCUACAUUGUUCUUACCAAUCAGGGAAAUGCGUUAUCUAACAGCAAUAUCCCAAAUGAUCCUCUAAGAGUGAAUCUAAUGUAAUCCACAUUUACAGUUAGUUAUAACAAACCAAACAUAUUGGAGCUAUAUAUGCUUUCAAUUCAGCUUCCCAACAGAUCAGCACCACAAACUAACAUAGCAUAAUGGAACCGUGUGAUUUCAACAAAGGUACGACCAAAAAGCAUCAGCUGUAUCUAAAUAAUCCUAUAAAACAGUAAAUAACUAUGGCAGCAUCACCAAUAGUAAUUAACACACCACAGGCACUAAUCCGGGAAGUUUCUGCUAUACCUGAUCAUCCUUGAGGUAGAGGAUCAUCUUGGUACCCCUGCCAAGGGUCUCCCCAGAGGUAUCACGUGUGACGGUGAAGGAUCCACCAGCCUGAGACUCCCACACGUACUGCUCAUCGUCGUUGUGCUUGGUGGUCACAACAACUCUCUCAGCAACAAGGUAGGCAGAGUAGAAACCAACUCCAAACUGACCGAUCAUAGACACAUCAGCACCAGCAGCCAGAGCCUCCAUGAACUCCUUUGUUCCUGACCGUGCAAUGGUACCAAGGUUGUUCACGAGAUCUGACUUGGUCAUACCAAUACCACUGUCAAUGAUUGUCAGAGUGUUGGAGGCCUUGUCAGGAACAAUGUGGAUGAACAGCUCUGGCUGGGCAUCGAGCUUGCUCUUGUCCGUCAAGCUCUCAAACCUGAUCUUGUCCAAGGCCUGUCAAAGCCCACAAAAACAUUCAGGGUUGGAUUGAUACAUCAUUCAGUGCUUACAAAGUAAUUAAAUGAAACGUGCACAGCUUUCACUAUUAUUAUUUAUCAGGAGGUUAUUCUGUCAGAAUAGGGUAACAAGGUAUUUACUGCACUAAACACGAGUAACCACUACACACAAUCAAUUUAACCAUGUAGUUGUUGAAGCACCAACUACAAAGCCUUCUACCUUCCCAGCAUAAUCCAUUCUGACAUAGGAAGACCAGAUAAAUUUAUUUUGUCAAGACCAAUCAUGCUUGCAUUUGUACAUUCAAGAUUAGCACUGCAAUAAACACAAUUAACUGCAUCAACACGCAAUCAACUUAACCAUGUAGCUGUUGAAGCACGUACUACAAUAAACCAGCCUAGCAAAGAUUACAUUUAUCAAGAUCAAUCACGCUCUCACGGUUCUCGCUAGGGUUUCAGAUCGUUCAGAUUAGUCAUAAACCUUGCAAGUACAGAUGCCACAGACACAGCCGAGAUCUGACAAAAUUACUAUUUACGACUUCAGAAGUACAGGUUGAUAUGUCGUGGAUUUAAGCUGAAUAGUCAACCACGAACUAGCACAAAACCCUAUAUAACCCCCUAUCACCAGAUCCGAAGUACGAUGCGGAACCCACCGAUCCAUUGAACGACACGAGGGCUUAGCGCACAGAUCUAGAGCCGCAAACAGAAGAGCACGAGCGGGUAGGGGGGAAACUUACAUCGGAGGAGUUGGAGAUGAGCUCCCGGAGGAAGAUCUCCUUGUUGGAGUAGAAGGUGUUGAUGAUGAGGGAGAGCAGCUGGUUGAUCUCCGCCUGGAAGGCGAACGUCUCCGUCUCCGAGGCCAUGGCGAGACCUUGCUUCCGAACGCGAGGAGAGGGCGGCGGCGCUUGGGAGGAGGCGACGAGGGUUUGGGGGAAACCGAGGGAGCCUGAGAUGAGAUGGGGAGGCGGCCAGGCGGGUGCCCUGUGGGGUGAUAUAUUGGGGGCGGGUUGACUGACUUCCCGUUGGGCCGAAGUCUUCUAGGCCCAGCCGUGCUGGGGCUGGAGGCCCCGUGGCCCACGAGUCAGUGGGCGUUGUGUCUUUCUUUUUUCAGACUUGGAAGGUUCUAGAGCGAGGUGGGUUUAGAGCAUGAUUUACCUUACGAUUAACGGGCAGUUGGCAGGUCCAUCUACGAGCUCGUGUAUUGCUUGAUUUACGAAAGGUUUUUUGUUUUGAAAAAAAUAAUGAAGAGUCCAGUAUAAGAUUUGCACGAACUUUUUCUCGUGUUUUGAGUUGCGUUUGGGAGCUUUGAUAAUACGUCUGUCGACUGUCGUGAUCGCAAUAAUUUCCAAAUUCUGUGAAAUUUCUGCUCCGUUUAAGAACGGGAGAUAGUAGACACUGUCUCUAUUUAAUGCAACUUGCAGGGAAGCUUCUGGAAGGAAAUAUAAGUGUACUUUACCAAAAGAUUACCAUCUAAUUGUCUUUCCAUUUUAGGAGUUCGUAACAACCACACUGAUAAUGAAUAUACAGAACGGCGAGUGAUGUGUCAAACAAACACAUUUCAGAUUACGUGAACCCUCCUACACACCGCUAUAAACCAAUUUUGACGUGAAUUCUUUUUAGCCCUAUGCAGUUUGUAUCCUCAGAAAAAAAAGCAAAAGAAAAAAAAAUAUAAUCAUAUAGUAGACUUAUUUUGCAAUAGCUUAUAAUUCAAUGUACUUAUAGCUGAAUGCUAAGUUGCAGACAUAAAAGGAGAAAGCGAAAAAACAAUCCUUUCCUUCGCAGCGCGAGCCUAUUCCCUGAACCGGGGGACCAGGUGGAACAGCCAACGCCCAACAUGAACGGAGCUGGGUACACGAUCCCAGGCUUGAUAGCUUUUAUUAGUAAUUUGAAUUUGGGAUGCAAAUUUUGGUUCCAUGCGCGCAAUUGGUAAAUGGUAACAUCUGGACUUGUUGCGCGCACUCCAUCUAUCGUUUACAUGUGGGUUUAAUCAAAUCUAGUGUGUAAUGGAAAAAAUAAGGUGCUCUAGCUUUAGUUUCCUCACUAUUUUGCUAGCCGGUGUACUGGCGCGGCCUAAGGUAGUAAAAUAGUAUGAAACUGCUAAUUAUUUUCUUUGAACUAAAAAUUCUAGCGGAUUAUACACGGUUCUCCAAAUCUUACUCCCCAGGUACAUGUGGUGCUGCAUCUGCUUUAGAUUUGGAGGUGCAGGCCCGCAGUCCAUCACUGAAGUAAUGAAGCUACCAAUAAAUUGUGGAUGUAUUUUGAUAGGCAAAAAGUCUUCCGAAGUAUAUAUUGGCUCCUAGUUUCUCUUGCAACAUUUUGGCAAUCGCUACUAAGUAGUUAAUCUCAUCAUCAAGACAAUCUAUUGAUGUUACUUUAUUACUGCACUAAACGUGAUUUGACUGAGGUUAGUAACUUUUCAUGGAUUAAAAUAUGCCUUGCAUUCAUAAAUAGAGGGAGUAUCAUCUGAACCACAACUCCUAUUGUCUCCAGUUUGUUGGCCAUCACAUUCGAGUAAUAAAACUAUGUGUGUUAUUAGAAAAUAGUUCUGGUAACACUGAUGAAAAUUGCUGCAUCCUUGCAUAUUACUUUGAAAAUGCUAGUCAUACAUUGUAGAACCCAUAAUUCAUCUAUAAAGUAAAUGUUACGUCAGAUAUUAUACUCUAUCCAGCCCAAAUUAGUAUUAGCUGUUUUGAUUUUUCUAAAUUUAUAAAUUUUAUUAUGCACAACCGAAAUGAUUAAUAAUUUAGGAUAGAGGAGCCCUAUGUUCAUAUAUAAAGUACUUCAUUAAAAUGGCUAAGUUUAUUGCAUCAUGGUGCUACCACACUCUAAUUUUAUAUGUUAAGUACUACUACCCACUUUUUUAAUGGUUUGUAUUACCUUUUUUAUAUGAAAUACUCCCCAUUAACAUGGCUAAUGCACAUCAUUGCUGGAUUUACACGAUCAUAUGCACACUGAUCAGCCACCAAAUCUUUUUUUGGUGUAACAUAUCCACAUACAAUCACAAGUGCAGACCACUGCCUAGUGGUAAUCAACGCAGAGGCUGGGGCCAAAUUUUAUUAACCUCUCGGCUUGAAAAGCCACAGCUGAAUCCGCAAAACUCGCAAAUGCCCAGUUAAUUCGGAUCAACUACUAAAAAAAUGCACUGCAAGUGAAAGUAAAGUGGAUAAAUUGAGCUUAAGAAAAGAAAGUGAUACAAAAAUAGGGAUGAAAUUUGCAACAGAAAAUCUCUAACUCAUUUACCACCUACCAGAGCACGUUUGAAAUUGUUUUCAUAUAAAUAAUAUCAUCUCCAAUAACCAUAUUAAAUGAGUUUUUCAAUUUCUUAUUAGUUGCCACUGAUUAGUUUAAUACUAGUGAAACCGGCAAAAUUUCGGUUAAUCCUUUAUGUAUAUUAUCGUUACCGACCGUUUCCUAAAAGAACAGAUUGCAAAGCGAGAAAAAACAGUAAUUCGAAGACAGCAGGUUAAUAAUAACACUAUUAUACCACCGAUACUUAACCUACGCAGUUCGAUAAUCCACGGCACCAUAGCAUCUAGCCCCACGCAUUGCAGGCUAGGAAAAGUACCACACAAAACACACCGACAACUCAACUUUCAGGGAUAACCAGAACAGCUAAGCUAACUCAGACUCAAAAGUUGCACCCGGGCGCGCUUAGUCGACCUCCUCCAUCUUGCUCUCACCAGCGUCGUCCUCCAGAGGGGGCAUGUCGGUGUCAGCCUCCGGGGUCUCGUCCUCGUCGAUGCUCAGGCCCAGCUUGAGCAUGCGGUGAAUGCGGCUGCCGAAGGUGUUGGGGUCGUCAAGGCUGAAGCCAGAGGUGAGGAGCGCAGUCUCGAACAGCAGCAUGACAAGGUCCUUCACAGACUUGUCGUUCUUGUCAGCCUCAGCACGCUUGCGGAGCUCCUCCAUGAUGGCAUUCUCAGGGUUGAUCUCCAUGGUCUUCUUGGAGGACAUGUAUCCGGACAUGCUGGAGUCCCUCAGGGCCUGGGCCUUCAUGAUCCUCUCCAUGUUGGCAGUCCAGCCAUAUUCACCAGUGACCAGGCAGCAGGGGGAGUCCACCACACGGUCAGAGACCACCACCUUCUCAACCUUGUCACCCAGCACCUCCUUAAUCACCUUGCAGAGGCCCUCAAACUUCUCCUUGAGCUCCUCCUGCCUCUUCUUCUCGUCCUCAGUCUCAUCAAGCUUCAGGCCCUCCUUAGUGGCAGAGACGAGUUUCUUGCCCUCAAAUUCCUUCAGCUGGCCAAUGGCAUACUCAUCAAUUGCAUCCACCAUGUACAGGACUUCAUAGCCCUUCUUCUUCAGCUUCUCAAGGAAGGGGGAGUUCUCCACAGCCUUCUUGCUCUCACCAGUGAUGUAGUAGAUGUCGCUCUGGCCCUCCUUCAUCCUCGUCACAUAGUCCUUGAGGCUAGUCAGCUCAUCACCGCUCUUGGUGGAGUGGUACCUCAGGAGCUCAGCGAUCUUGGUCCUGUUCUGGGAGUCCUCGUGGAUGCCAAGCUUGAGGUUCUUGCAGAAGGCCUCAUAGAACUUGUUGUAGUCCUCCUUGUUCUCAGCAAUCUCGAAGAAGAGCUCAAUGCACUUCUUCACCAGGUUCUUGCGGAUAACCUUGAGGAUCUUGUUCUGCUGGAGGGUCUCACGGGAGAUGUUGAGGGGAAGGUCCUCAGAGUCAACGAUGCCCUUGACAAAGCUCAGCCACUCUGGGAUCAGCUCCUCACAGUUGUCCAUGAUGAAGACACGGCGCACAUAGAGCUUGAUGUUGUUCUGCUUCUUCCUGGUGUCGAAGAG
rnacentral:lncRNA from 1 species